CUGGAAUCCUCUAAAAUAAGUCACAUGGGAAAAAAUUCUGAUCUUAUUCUAGACGAAGAAUGAAAAGCCAGGAAGCUACAUAACCCAAGUGCAUUUCCAGAAAUCACUAACUUCUGACAUUAUCAGAACUUUGGAUGAAAUAAACACAGGUUUUUGAAUGAAGUAAACAUAGUCUAUCACCAGUUUAAAUUCUUUUCCAAUACUAUUCUUUCAUGAUUCUAUAAAGAUUCUACACAGAAUCUUUCCAACACUAUUACUCAAUAAAUUCUCCAGAAUACUGUUAAUAUACUUACAAAGUGUUGAAUCUUUAAAUUGCUGUUCUCAAUGGGUAAAACUGACUGAUAAAAGCACAUUUAUAAAUGUCAGUUGCCAUAUGGUUUACACUUUUGCUAAUGAUCAAUCACAAGACUAAAUCAAUCAUUGGACAAAUACCAUUAUAAAACUGUGAAAUGUUUACGCCAACUCUCUUCUUCUCUCCCCAAGUAACAUCACUAAUUUGUGCCAAUAUUUACGAACAUUUAACCCAUACUUCCUUUCCUGCUGUAAGAUUCAAAUUUACCAAUUGCAUUUAGAGUGGCUACCUAUUACUUGGCCAAUGUAUUCUUUUCAAAAGAACAUUUAUUGAAUCAACAUAUAUAAAAUAUCUCUUUGAUUUAAUUAAUAGGCAUUGUGUAUUCAUUGCCAAAAAUAUGUUCUCAACUAAAACAUACCCUAUGAUCAUCAACUCACAGAGUUUUGCUGAUCAUUCAUAAUUGUGCAAUGAACUAUCUUGUAGAAUAAACAACCUCCACAGUUCUUAUUUUGAAAAACUUCAAAACGUUCAGACUAGUAAUUACAUUGAAUAAUAGCUUAAUUUAAAUUGUAAAAGACCUCUAGUGGAUUGUUUAUUUCAUUUACACUGUGUGAUAUGUUUUAUACAGAGAGAAGUUAUACAUACUCAUGAAUCAAUGUGUACAAUGGAGAAUUAAUACUGAAAACAAAUGUAUUUUAUUCUACUUUUUAAAAAAUUGUUGAAAUGGAGCCCAGCCUUCCCACUACCACUUGUUGCAACUCCCACACUUCAUAUGUACACCACCUCUUUCCUUGACCCUUGAAAGACACCAUGUGGUUUUCACCUGAGAAUGAUAUAAAUAUGAACACUCUAAUAUUACAUUUUGUCAGAAGGUUUUGUUUAUGUAUUUAUUUUGUGAAUUCCUGAUGUAUUAUCAGUAUGGCAUCCACUUGUCUUUCUUAACUGUGAAUCACUUUUCAGUUGUGAAUUUGUUAUCUGUAAAUCACAAACUAUCCUUUUGGCCUGGGCUUAAAUAAAAAGCCCAAGAUGCAUAACUGAUUGAUCGCUAUAUUCCAUCCCCUAGACUACAGAGCUUGAUUCAAGAAUGGACACCAACUAAAACCAGUCCAGUCUCAUUAGGGUAUUGCAAAUUAAAACAACAAUGA
rnacentral:lncRNA from 10 species